UAGGCGUCCUGUGUGAGAAAUGUUCUAAAGGUUAUGGCGGAUUUCGUCUGUUUUCGAACCCCAAAAUGUGUCUUCGAGUGGCAGAUACCGUUCUGGCUGAAACUGCUUAUUUCAUUGACAUCAGUUUUUCGGCCUUGGACAGGAGACGAGACGAAUGCAGGCAAAUAGAUUUGACACAUUCAUGUGUCAAAAGGACUUGGACAAUGGUUCCAACAGACCUUUUACUUUGGAGAAGCAGCUAGUCAACAGUGUGUGUGCAUGGUGCAUGUAACUGCCAACAUCAAAAAUGAUCUUCGGCUGGAGAUGGAGUGCUGAAACUGCAGACUUGGAGCCAACCAGCCAAAGAUGCCUCAGUUAUCAUUCUGGACGUGAUGCUGCCUUCGCUAAUUCCAAGUCAUCUCAAGAGGCCGUGUCUGUAGUCGACACUUAGGGAAGAGUAAAUCCUUGGCAAGAAUAAACAGAGAAAUGUCAAAACUUACUUUGCUCUGAAGAUAUUUUUAUAAGGAAAUUGGCUUUCCUUGUUUUUUGAUGAUCUAUUAUGUCUGAAAAAUUACUUAAAUCACUUUGAGACAAACUUAGCCAAACUCAAAAACAUAGCUGUUGGAAAAUUAAAAAAAAAAAUCUGUCCAUUUUGUUAUCAAAAGAUAUUUCUGUGGCCUUAAAUAUCUCAUGGAACAUUUCUAAAUUGCCAUGGAUUUAUUCGGAACCAAAUUUUUACGGAAAAUUGAGCCAGGCUUACGUUGGAAGGGUCAUUUUGCAAAGAACUCGCCAAAAAAGCCAAGGACAUUUUUAAAAUCUCAAAAGAAAAAACAAGAAAGGGUAUUUUCUUCUUUUACACUGAACCAAAGAAUCAAACGAAGUCAAAUUUUGCGCAUCUGAGUUUAGAGUUCACGGCAAACAUCAUCUUGGAUUCAUUUCAAUUUCAAAUGUUGAAAAUAUUUAUAACAUGUCAUGGAUAUUUGGAAGACUAAAUUCCGAGCGCUACUUGCCCUUUUCCUCUGACUUGUGCCUGGCUCAUCAUUAUUUCAAAUGAUUAUUUAUUAAAGAUUAGUACUCGUGUAUAAGAAAAGUAAACAAGUCAAAUAUAAGUGAAAUUGCCAACAGCUUUCUUUAAUGGCACAUCAUGACAUCGUGUGAAUAAUACACCGUCGAAGUUACCUUUGCAUACAAUUGCCGAAACUGUCGUGUUGUAUGUGUAAUGCUUAUAUAGUGAAGAUUAUGUUUUGGGGGUUGACUUCUACUAUUAAUUGUAAUUUGAAAAGUUUUUUUGACAUCUAAGUUCAAUAGUGUCAUAGCAUACAAGGUAACUGCUCAAGUAAUAUCAGCCAAAGUGAUCGUACGAAACUGCUUUCUGGUUCAGUGUUGAAAGACUAACUAUUUUUCAUUCAAUAUUUUCUACCUUCUUUAUAUAGACUUGUGUUUCUUCAAUUGUUCUAUAAGUUGCUCCCUCGGUAUACUCACCGUAUUCACUUCAUUUUCUACCAACCAAUUUUCAAUUUCGUAUCUUUUAUAACAAAAAAACCCACAAAAAAUACUUUUUACUCUGCAUGGGUUGCACUCAUCUGCGUCUCUAUAACACACAAAAAGAUCCGUCUUAAUAACUGUCGAGCAAAAAUGCACUUGGAACGUUAAAAUUGUACUAAAAACCGAACAGUUUACUUGGUGUGGCAUUUAAAUGUCAAAGUUGCAUGCGUUUUUUUUAAAUCACUUGUGUACCAUGUAUUAAUUGUUUUACAAAAAUGAUGUUUGAUAUUUAAUUCAAGACUCUCAUUUCCACCCUGCCUUGCUGCAUGAUGUGCCAUUUUGAAAUGUAAAAAAAGGUGUAUUUUUUUGUGUGUUUUGUGUUGUUCAUUUAAAUUUAAAACAAAAUAUCGGAAAAAGAGGGCGCUACUACCUAAAUUAAGUUGAAUUAAAUUGCUGUAAAUUAAUGCAACCUUUUCCUGUGAACUUAAAUGGCGCUCUUGUCCAAAAAAAUGCAGAGGAAGAACUUGCGCGCAAAGGCCAAUUUAGCAAAAUGUUUUAAGGUAAAUACAGUGCCCUUUUUUCCAGUAUUUUGUUUGGGGCGCAAGGGGGCGCUAUCACAAAUUAACAGCGCGUUACUACUUGGGCAACAGAGGGCGCUACCAUGGCAAAUUUUAAAAUUGGUCAUCCACCAACAAAAGAGGGCGCCGUUAUAAAAAAACUCUUGCAAAAAAAGUGGUAGCGCCCUCUGUCCCAAGUAAAUUUGUGGUAGCGCCCUCUAUUUUUUAAUUGGGUUUGGGCUGGGCAAUAGAGGGCGCUAUAACGGGCAUUGAUUGCCCGUUAUAGCGCCCUCUAUUGCCCAGCUCAUUUGGGGGUAAAAGGGGAAUAAGACAAGACGGUAGAGAGAAUAUAUUGGAACCCAAUAAAUUUAUUUGACUUUGAAAAAAAUGGCCAAAAAAAAAGUGUUCCCCCUGGCGCGUGCCCUGCGCCCCCGCCCACGGACGCCAACAGGCCAGCGAGUCGCCCACAUCCACAUCAACUUGUAACCCGUCAUUGCCGAGUAAUGUACAAACUCCACCAAUCAACUCAGAUGUUACAAGUCGGACUUCAACAUGAUAAGGAUCCAGUGAACUCCGAACAAUCAGUUUACUUUUCUACAAAGUCGAUAUCAUUUUGGCUGUUUAUACCGAGUGGUUACCAUGGUUAUUGUAUAUCUUCCCAGCAUUCCUUCAAUUGCUAACGAGAGAUACCCAACGACAACUACUCAUAACUGUCUUCCAAGAAUAUUU